AUCGAACGCUGGCGGCAAGCCUAAUACAUGCAAGUCGAACGAGUGGCGGACGGGUGAGUAGUGUCUGGGAAACUGCCUGAUGGAGGGGUAGAACUGCUGGAAACGGUAGCUAAAACCGCAUAACAUGGGAUGUGCCCAGAUGGGAUUAGCUAGUAGGUGGGGUAAAGGCUCACCUAGGCGACGAUCCCUAGCUGGUCAGAGAGGAUGAACAGCCACACUGGAACUGAGACACGGUCCAGACUCCUACGGGAGGCAGCAGUGGGGAAUAUUGCACAAUGGGCGCAAGCCUGAUGCAGCCAUGCCGCGUGUAUGAAGAAGGCCUUCGGGUUGUAAAGUACUUUCAGCGGGGAGGCGGUACCCGCAGAAGAAGCCCCGGCUAACUCCGUGCCAGCAGCCGCGGUAAUUC
rnacentral:rRNA from 1 species